UGCUGCAGUUGUUGACCAAGGGGGGUAUUGAACAGGCCCUGAACACCCCCAGAGCUCUCAGUAGCUCCCCCAGACUUUUCACCUGGAAUGCACGGGGGUCGUCGAAGCUCAAGGUCACCGGGGGGUCGCAGCCUGGUUGGGGAUGGGUCACUGGCAAGUCACUGGGCCGCGAGGUCAUGGUGGGGUCACCACUGAGCAUCCUGGGAGUUGUAGUCCUAGCUGCUGGGUUCCAGAUUGGGAGGAGGUGUCGCACACAGGAGCGAGAGAGAAACAUCCUGUGCGUGUGAGUGCCUGUCUGUCUGCUGGACCACCUGGCUCCCUGGACUUCCUGUCUGUCUGCACUACCUGUCUGCUGGACCACCUGUCUGUCUGUCUGUCUGUCUGGACUUCCCGUCUCUCUGUACCACCUGUCUGUCUGUCUGGACUUCCUGUCUGUCUGCACUACCUGUCUAUUGGACCACCUGUCUAUCUUAUCUGUCUGUCUCAACCACCUGUCUAUCUGACCCCCCUGUGUUGUGAAGAUGGUGCUGUUCUCAGUGUGUUGUUCAGUUGGGCAGUUGUGCAGUGUGUUGUGAAGACGGUGCUGUUCUCAGUGUGUUGUGCAGUUGUGCAGUGUGUUGUGAAGAUGGUGCUGUUCUCAGUGUGUUGUGCAGUUCUGCAGUGUGUUGUGAAGACGGGGCUGUCCUGUUGUUAGUAUUGUGCUCCUGUGUGCUGGGACAGAGUUUCGUAGAUCCCAGAAUCCCGAGUCUCUCCCUGCCUGCGGGCGUCUCACUCCUCUCUCCCAGCACCUGAAAAACCAGCACAGCUGUCGGCCUGCUGUGACCCCAACUCGUGCAGCCCCAGUCCAGUCCAGUCCAUCCAGGGAUCACCAGUCUCAGUCGUCCACUCCAGUCCAGGGGUCUCCAGCCCCAGUCCAGUACAGGGGUCUCCAGCCCCAGUCCAGGUAGAAUGUCAUACAAAGAGAGACACAGGCAGACAGACAGGUGGGGAGAUACAGACAGAGAGGGGGAGAUACAGACAGACAGUGAAACAGACGGGUGGAGAGAUACAGAGAGAGACACAGGCAGACAGACAGGUGGAGAGAUACAGAGAGAGACACAGGCAGACAGACAGACAGUCAGACAAACAGGCACAGGGAGUCUGUGGAGAGUCUCCUACCUCGUGCUGCAGCAAGCAAGUCCAGAGGACGAGUGAGAGAGGACACUGUGUCUGAGGGUCAGUCCAGCAGACUGUGAGCUGACAUGAGUUUGCAGCUCGAGC
rnacentral:lncRNA from 1 species